UAUAUGCGUCAUACCGUACGUUUUUAUCAUUUUAAUCGUCGCAACAGUCCGAUACAGAAUAGCCGAACGCCCACGAAUUCAUUCUCGGAUUGACGUCCCUUCUGCAUUUUGUCGAUACCUUUUAUUGGAGAGAGAAAAGAGGCAGAUCGGCUUAUAUGAAAAAAAUAGACGAGAGAAUAGCCGAACGAUGUCAAUGCAGUGGAAUAAUUAGUGUAACUAAUUGUAAAAUAAUGCAAAAUACGCGUUAAAAUUUGCGUACAUUGGUGAUGCAGAAAAUCAAGAGCGAUAAUGUGGCGAAGAACAGAGAAGAAAAAGUACUUACAAUUAGA